rnacentral:rRNA from 1 species
UAGGGAAUCUUCGGCAAUGGACGGAAGUCUGACCGAGCAACGCCGCGUGAGUGAAGAAGGUUUUCGGAUCGUAAAGCUCUGUUGUAAGAGAAGAACGAGUGUGAGAGUGGAAAGUUCACACUGUGACGGUAUCUUACCAGAAAGGGACGGCUAACUACGUGCCAGCAGCCGCGGUAAUACGUAGGUCCCGAGCGUUGUCCGGAUUUAUUGGGCGUAAAGCGAGCGCAGGCGGUUAGAUAAGUCUGAAGUUAAAGGCUGUGGCUUAACCAUAGUAGGCUUUGGAAACUGUUUAACUUGAGUGCAAGAGGGGAGAGUGGAAUUCCAUGUGUAGCGGUGAAAUGCNUANAANUNUGGAGGGACACCGGUGGCNAAAGCGGCUCCUUGGNUUGGAANUGAANNCUAAGGCUCNAANGCNGGGGGANNAAANNGAAUAAAAUACCCGGGUAGUCCCCCCUGUAAACAAUAAGUGCUAGGUGUUAAACCCUUUCCGGGGUUUAGUGCGUNNCUNACNNANAAUNACACUCCGCCUGGGGAGUACNACCGCAAGGNUUG